rnacentral:lncRNA from 1 species
UGUGGAUAGUAAUUUAUCAAUGAGCUCGAGACCAUAACAGUGUAGACUCGCGCUGGUUUUGUUUAAUCUGGACAGUGUUGUGUUUAAGACUGUUAGUCCAAGGUCUGUGUAGUUGUAGAAUGGAGCUAUAUGAUGUCAGAACAUUUCAUUUACAAGGUCAAAUUUAUACUCUCUGUAUGCUGAUCAGUUUGUUACUUAAUGUUCGUGCAGUAUCGGCGACAACAAGAAGGCCUGGAAGACCGAACACUGCAGGUAUGUGCAGUCGCUGCCAAGCUUUCUGAUAUUAUUAGCCUACCAGAUAAUUUCUGAUAUUGCCUUUUGGUGAUUACAGGGCACUGAAGAUAAAGCUUACAGAAAGAAAUAAAGAUGGCCAUAUUCUCACAUACUCCUGGAUUUCAUUUACAUCAACUUCUCAAGAGAGGAGUACUCCUUUUUAGUAGUCUCAGUUUAAAGUAAAUUAAAUGAAAGGAGUACUCCUUUUCAGUUGUCUCAGUUUAAAGUAAAUGAAAGGAGUACUUGCUCCCUGUACUAGUUACUUCUACUACUUAUUUUUAGUUGUUUAGUACUACUGUGUAGAUCUGUGAUACUAGUCUAGUCGCUUGUAUAAUUUUGUUUAUUAGUGUAACCUGAACCAUGGAGUAGUACCCUGUUCGCAUAUGUGUGAUUAUGUGUGUUCUGUAGUCUCUAGCUCCAGUACAUGUGA